rnacentral:miRNA from 4 species
GCGACCCAUCCUUGGUUUCUG